ensembl:snRNA U6 U6 spliceosomal RNA
GUGUUUGCUCAGACAAGCACAUAUACUAAAAGACUGAAAUGAUACAGAGAAGAUCACCACGGACCGUGUGCAAGGAUGGCACACAGGUUUGUGAGGUUUUGUGUGUUUCU